rnacentral:rRNA from 1 species
GAUAUUCCUGUACCACCUAUAAUCGUUUUAAUCGAUGGGGGGACGCAGUAGGAUAGGCGAAGCGUGCGAUUGGAUUGCACGUCUAAGCAGUAAGGCUGAGUAUUAGGCAAAUCCGGUACUCGUUAAGGCUGAGCUGUGAUGGGGAGAAGACAUUGUGUCUUCGAGUCGUUGAUUUCACACUGCCGAGAAAAGCCUCUAGAUAGAAAAUAGGUGCCCGUACCGCAAACCGACACAGGUAGUCAAGAUGAGAAUUCUAAGGUGAGCGAGCGAACUCUCGUUAAGGAACUCGGCAAAAUGACCCCGUAACUUCGGGAGAAGGGGUGCUCUUUAGGGUUAACGCCCAGAAGAGCCGCAGUGAAUAGGCCCAAGCGACUGUUUAUCAAAAACACAGGUCUCUGCUAAACCGUAAGGUGAUGUAUAGGGGCUGACGCCUGCCCGGUGCUGGAAGGUUAAGAGGAGUGGUUAGCUUCUGCGAAGCUACGAAUCGAAGCCCCAGUAAACGGCGGCCGUAACUAUAACGGUCCUAAGGUAGCGAAAUUCCUUGUCGGGUAAGUUCCGACCCGCACGAAAGGCGUAACGAUUUGGGCACUGUCUCAACGAGAGACUCGGUGAAAUCAUAGUACCUGUGAAGAUGCAGGUUACCCGCGACAGGACGGAAAGACCCCGUGGAGCUUUACUGUAGCCUGAUAUUGAAAUUCGGCACAGCUUGUACAGGAUAGGUAGGAGCCUUUGAAACGUGAGCGCUAGCUUACGUGGAGGCGCUGGUGGGAUACUACCCUAGCUGUGUUGGCUUUCUAACCCGCACCACUUAUCGUGGUGGGAGACAGUGUCAGGCGGGCAGUUUGACUGGGGCGGUCGCCUCCUAAAAGGUAACGGAGGCGCUCAAAGGUUCCCUCAGAAUGGUUGGAAAUCAUUCAUAGAGUGUAAAGGCAUAAGGGAGCUUGACUGCGAGACCUACAAGUCGAGCAGGGUCGAAAGACGGACUUAGUGAUCCGGUGGUUCCGCAUGGAAGGGCCAUCGCUCAACGGAUAAAAGCUACCCCGGGGAUAACAGGCUUAUCUCCCCCAAGAGUUCACAUCGACGGGGAGGUUUGGCACCUCGAUGUCGGCUCAUCGCAUCCUGGGGCUGUAGUCGGUCCCAAGGGUUGGGCUGUUCGCCCAUUAAAGCGGUACGCGAGCUGGGUUCAGAACGUCGUGAGACAGUUCGGUCCCUAUCCGUCGUGGGCGUAGGAAAUUUGAGAGGAGCUGUCCUUAGUACGAGAGGACCGGGAUGGACAUACCUCUGGUGUACCAGUUGUCGUGCCAACGGCAUAGCUGGGUAGCUAUGUGUGGACGGGAUAAGUGCUGAAAGCAUCUAAGCAUGAAGCCCCCCUCAAGAUGAGAUUUCCCAACUUCGGUUAUAAGAUCCCUCAAAGAUGAUGAGGUUAAUAGGUUCGAGGUGGAAGCAUGGUGACAUGUGGAGCUGACGAAUACUAAUCGAUCGAAGACUUAAUCAA